rnacentral:tRNA from 1 species
CGCGGGGUGGAGCAGUCUGGUAGCUCAUUGGGCUCAUAACCCAAAGGUCGUUGGUUCAAAUCCAACCCCCGCUACCA